AUUGAACGCUGGCGGCAUGCCUUACACAUGCAAGUCGAACGGCAGCGGGGGAGAAGCUUGCUUUUCCUGCCGGCGAGUGGCGAACGGGUGAGUAAUACAUCGGAACGUGCCCUGUAGUGGGGGAUAACUAGUCGAAAGAUUAGCUAAUACCGCAUACGACCUGAGGGUGAAAGUGGGGGACCGCAAGGCCUCAUGCUAUAGGAGCGGCCGAUGUCUGAUUAGCUAGUUGGUGGGGUAAAGGCCUACCAAGGCGACGAUCAGUAGCUGGUCUGAGAGGACGAUCAGCCACACGGGGACUGGGAAACGGCCCAGACUCCUACGGGAGGCAGCAGUGGGGAAUUUUGGACAAUGGGCGAAAGCCUGAUCCAGCAAUGCCGCGUGUGUGAAGAAGGCCUUCGGGUUGUAAAGCACUUUUGUCCGGAAAGAAAUGGCUCUGGUUAAUACCUGGGGUCGAUGACGGUACCGGAAGAAUAAGGACCGGCUAACUACGUGCCAGCAGCCGCCGUAACAC
rnacentral:rRNA from 1 species